GGAACUCCAAAAUUAAGCGAGUGCGCUUGAGAGCAUUCCCAUGAUGGGUGAUCCACUGGGAAGUUCUCGUGUGAGUUCCCAGAAACAAAACCAUGUGGGAGUGGUCGGGGCCCAAAGCGGACAAUAUCGUGCUACGGUGGAGUCGAGCCCAGGAUGUGGUGGGGGCCCGGGCCGGGAUGUGACAUUCGCCUCAUCGUGAAGUUUUGAAAAUUAAAAUAAAACUUUCAGUUGAUAUUUUUGAGGGUGUAACCCCAUUUUAACAAUGUUUUGGGCCUCACUACUAUAUUUUUCACUUAUUUGCGUUGCUUUAGGCUUAAAUAUUAUACUAAAUAUACAUUUAUUCUUCAAUAAACCGUAAAACCACAUCCAAAUGCCUUGUAAAGUUUUUCCUAAUGCUCAUGAAAAUUAUUUCGCGAAAAUAAAAAAUUUGCAUUUUUCUCAAAAAAAACGUGGACUUUUUAGUAGGUUUUGCAAAUUCAUACAUAAAUCAUCGUUCAAAUUAUUUAAAUUUAUCUCCGCCUCACAGUGAAGUUUUAAAUAUUAAAGUAAGACUUUCCGUUGAUAUUUUUGAGGGUGUAACCCCAUUUUAACAAUGUUUUGGGCCUCACCAAUAUAUUUUUCACUUACUUUUUUAGUUUUCGGCUUAAAUAUUCUACUAAAUAUACAUUUGUUACUUAGUAAAUCAUACAACCGCUUCCAAAUGCCUUAUAAAGUUUUCCUUAAUGGUUAGGGAAAUUAUUUCACGAAAAUAAAAAAUUUGCAUUUUUCACAAAAAAUGUGGGUUAACAACACUCACGGGUUUUAGUAGGUUUUGCAAAUUCGUACAUAAAUCAUCAUUCAAAUAUUUUAUUUUCACCUUCGCCUAACUGUGAAGUUUUGAAAAUUAUAGUAAGACUUUCCGUUGAUAUUUUUGAUGGUGUAACCCUAUUUUAACAAUAUUUUGGGCCUCACUUCUAUAAUUUUCACUUAUUUUCGUAGCUUUUAGCUUUAAUAUUAUACUAAAUCUACAUUUAUUCUUGAAUAAACCAUAAAACCACUUCCAAAUGCAUUGUAAAGUUUUCCCUAAUGCUCACGAAAAUUAUUUCGCAAAAAUAAAAAAUUUGCAUUUUUCCCAAAAAAUGUGGGUUAACAUUCACCGUUUUUAGUUGGUUUUGCAAAUUUGUACAUAAAUUAUCGUUCAAAUUAUUUAUUUUCACCUUCGCCUCACCGUGAAGUUUUGAAAAUUUAAGUAAGAGUUUCCGUUGAUAUUCUUGACGGUGUAUGACACACCCCGACCGAGAUCGAUGCAUGCUGGGCGUCACUUGAGAGUGACGUAACCAUGUGCACAGUGCGGAAGCGAUAAGGAUAAGAAAUAUACGAAUAAAUAAAAAAAAUGAAAGUUAUUAAUGUGCACUAAUAAGCAGAAAGUGCUAUGAGUGAGAUACAAGAGUAAAUACUCCUAAUCAGAGCAUAGAAAGUCUAUGUGCAGUCCAGUAGGACAAAUACUAGUUAUACAAUACCAGAAGAUAUCCUACGAAUAUUUUAUUCUGUCAGAACCGCCGAGAUCCUCGAACGCCACCAAUAGCAAGUCUACCUAAAACCUGGAGAAGCGUAAAAAAGAAAACGUGAGUGGACAAAAACAAAGCUUUUCAAAAUCAUUUCAUUUAUCAAAUGCUCUAACCCCUCGCCGUAAAACAUGUAUACUUUUUCCCAGAAAUAGAAUAUAAACAUAUAUAUAUAUAUAUAUAUAUAUAUAUAUAUAUAUAUAUAUAUAUAUCAAUUCAAAUCAUGCUACACAUAUUCAUAAUCAUAAGUAUGCCAUGCCAAGAUAUAAACAAGAUAAGUAACUCAGGUGAAAAUAACACAUUAGCCGGAACCCCUGCAGAAGUCUGUACGGCUGAAUUCAUAGCUCAUUAGUCAAUCUAGCCGGAGUCACUACAAGUGACCUAUACGACACUACACUGCACACGAGCCGGAACCACUGAAAGAGUCUGUACGACAAGACUGAGUGUAAUAUAAUUAUGCUCAAUACAACGCUCUCAUGAUAUAUGUGCGAUAAAUCGCUAGUCACCCCUACGAGUCGGAACCACCUAUAAUGGUCGGUACGACAAGAUUGUACACUUAAAUUGGAUCCAAUGUGAGCAUAUGGUGCAGGAGGUGACAUUAUAUACAGGCCUAUGUCAUAUCUCUAGCUAAUCACUAACACCGGGGUGCAGGUGUAUGAGCUCUAUGCUUCUCAAUUAAUCACAACCGUUAUUCACAUUCACAAUUCAUAAACUCAACUGGGUUUACCUGAGCGUCUACAGCACCACAAUUAUAUAUAAUGCAUCAUAUACUGAACAUAAAUUUAUAUGCAUGGCAUUUCAAGGCAUACUUCUAUUUAAACGCAUUUUCUGGGAAAAUAUCAAGUAUAUAAGUAUUUACUGAAAACCAAAAGCCCACUCACUGGUAUAUCGAAGGGUCGUAGCCCCCGAGUCGCCCUUGACUACGCUCGUCCUCGGGAUAAGUCUCCCCUAUAUGCGAAACAACUAUAAAAACGUUAAUUUAAAGCACAUAACCAAUACUAGCUAAUAACUUCUCAUACAUUGCUCAAAUGGGAUGUUUGAAUAUACCAACGUGAUCUAAACAACCUCACGAACAUCCUUAUAUUUUUAGAAAAUUUUUCUGAUGUCCCACGCGCCGGCAAGGGCACGGCAACACGUGCAGGGACCCUAACGGAAUCCCCUAACCCCGUUAGGAAUAUUCCGUUAAAAAAGCAACAUAAACCGUUAAUUCUACCUGACGGCGUCAGAAUAUUCCGUCAACUCUGACGGAAUAUUCUAUCUUCUUCUCCGAUUAACCUCGCCGGUCGCCGUCGCCGUUCAUUGGAAACUGGAAAAUCACGAAAACCUUUAUAUCUCGUUCAAUUCUCAUCCAAAUUCCACGAAACUUGAACCAAAUUGAAGCUUAGGACAAGUAGAACAAAACCUUACCUUUCAAAAGUCCUAAAAUCGACGGAACUCGCCGAAAAUUCCUUCGAUAUUCCGGCUAAACCUGCAACUCCUUAUUCCCGAGCUUCCCAACGUGCAAAUCACUUCAUUUUUCUUCUCUGAGCCUCGUGAAGACGAUCUAAAGCUCCCUAUAACUUCAAAACUCUCAGAAAACUACACAUUUACGUGUGCAUGAACAAUACCUCAAAUUGGAGGUUAUGGUUUCUCGGGUUUUCGAGGGUUUCAAGUUCUAAAAAUGGUACGAAUGGACUCAGGAGCUUGUAGGGAACAAGAACAUCACUUUUUAAACGUCGAUCCGCGACUGGUUGAAGGAGUUUGAGGUUGACCAUACGGUUUGUAUGGAAAUGGAAGGAAAUCCGAGAGGGAAGGGAGAGAGAGAGAGUCAACGGAAGAGAGAGAAAAG
rnacentral:lncRNA from 1 species